GUCAACGCUGGCGGUAGGCCUAACCCAUGCAAGUCGAACGGCAGCACAGUAAGAGCUUGCUCUUACGGGUGGCGAGUGGCGGACGGGUGAGGAAUAUAUCGGAAUCUACUUUUUCGUGGGGGAUAACGUAGGGAAACUUACGCUCAUACCGCAUACGACCUACGGGUGAAAGCAGGUGAUCAUCUGACCUUGCGCGAUUUUAUGAGCCGAUGUCGGAUUAGCUAGUUGGCGGGGUAAAGGCCCACCAAGGCGACGAUCCGUAGCUGGUCUGAGAGGAUGAUCAGCCACACUGGAACUGAGACACGGUCCAGACUCCUACGGGAGGCAGCAGUGGGGAAUAUUGGACAAAGGGCGCAAGCCUGAUCCAGCCAUACCGCGUGGAUGAAGAAGGCCUUCGGGUUGUAAAGCCCUUUUGUUGGGAAAGAAAAGCAGCAGGUUAAGACCCCGCUGUUCUGACGGUACCCAAAGAAUAAGCACCGGCUAACUUCGG
rnacentral:rRNA from 1 species